GAUGAACGCUGGCGGCGUGCCUAAUACAUGCAAGUCGAGCGAACAGACGAGGAGCUUGCUCCUUUGACGUUAGCGGCGGACGGGUGAGUAACACGUAGGUAACCUACCUAUAAGACUGGGAUAACUUCGGGAAACCGGAGCUAAUACCGGAUAAUAUUUCGAACCGCAUGGUUCGAUAGUGAAAGAUGGCUUUGCUAUCACUUAUAGAUGGACCUGCGCCGUAUUAGCUAGUUGGUAAGGUAACGGCUUACCAAGGCAACGAUACGUAGCCGACCUGAGAGGGUGAUCGGCCACACUGGAACUGAGACACGGUCCAGACUCCUACGGGAGGCAGCAGUAGGGAAUCUUCCGCAAUGGGCGAAAGCCUGACGGAGCAACGCCGCGUGAGUGAUGAAGGUCUUCGGAUCGUAAAACUCUGUUAUGAGGGAAGAACAAACGUGUAAGUAACUGUGCACGUCUUGACGGUACCUAAUCAGAAAGCCACGGCUAACUACGUG
rnacentral:rRNA from 1 species